GACAGAGGGUGCAAACGUUGUUCGGAAUUACUGGGCGUAAAGCGCGUGUAGGCUGCUUCGCAAGUCGGGUGUGAAAGCCCUGGGCUCAACCUAGGAAGUGCACUCGAAACUGCGAAGCUGGAGUCCUGGAGAGGAAGGCGGAAUUCUCGGUGUAGAGGUGAAAUUCGUAGAUAUCGAGAGGAACACCGGUGGCGAAGGCGGCCUUCUGGACAGUGACUGACGCUGAGGCACGAAAGCUAGGGGAGCAAACAGG
rnacentral:rRNA from 1 species